UCGCCCCAGCUGCGGCGGGCGCC
rnacentral:misc_RNA from 1 species